CGUCCGACUAAUAAUCAGCUUCGCUUUGUUGUGUCAGCUUCUGCCGACCAACCCUCGCAUCUCGCUCUUCCGGGCAUUUUUUGUGCUCCGACCCCACCCUAAGGUCCGAGGGUGGUGGCUCUUCAACCUCCGGAAGGGUCUUUCCUUCAUCACUAGUCUUCCAUCGUCCAUCCACGGGUGGAAGAACCAGUUUUUCUUCGUCUCAUCUUCUU
rnacentral:lncRNA from 1 species